CUGUGAGCACAGUCCCACUGGAUACAAAAUUUAGAAUACAAAUUGGAGUUCUAUUUGAUCUGAGCAUGGAUGCAGGGAGCAGCCCGUGAUGGCACUUUGAGAAUAAAGUAGGAUUGGUCCUCAUCUGUAUGACUCAGGAAGAUGCUUCAAAUACCUUGCCUCAACACUUCGGUUACAGUGAUGAUUGAUCCCUAUUAUCUGCUUGUGUUGCUGAGUCAUACGCUGGAGCUCUACAAUAAAGAAGCCUUCAGAUACUGAGAAAAAGAGUUCUUCAGAGCAUUACAGGCGACAGUCCUUUCCUGUUGAUUCUGUUCAAACUCAGAAGCAAUCCGAAUGCUGUCAUCAAAUGUACUGGCUGCAGUCAAAUAAAGGUUACAGCAGUCUUUAUAUACAGCAAGUACUCUAAUUUCUUUUAUAACUUCUGGAUGUACUGAGCUUCAAUAAUUUGUUUAAAGGAGCUGCAGUGUCACAGAGAUGUGGCACUGUCUGGAGGAGGAAGAUGCUGACUCCCAGAACCAGCUGUGCACCCUCUCCCUACCUUGAUGUGUACCAGAGAUCUGCCUCCUGCUCUGACCCUGCACAGAUUUAUCACCUCCUGACACCCCUCCCAGAACAGCACUGAAAAAAGAGAUUCCUCUGCUUACAUGCCACACAUAGCACACCAAACCUGGAGAAAGAAGGCUGGUAGAGUAGGUAGGAUGUCAUUCCAAAAAGGUUUUAUUUACCGCAAUGUUUCCUUCUGAUAGUCAUUUUUAUGUGUUGCUUUAUAAUACUGGAAUGAUGUGAGAUCAUGAUGGGAAA